GGCAGUGUCAUAAGCAGAAGCUGAAACAAAAGAGUAUGGGUCCUUGUCCGAUAACAUCUCUUCCUUUAUCUCCUUCACUGAAGCUUCAAUAUUUGAAACCUUUGAACGCCCCAUUUUAGCUUAGAAAAAUUAAAAUUCAUUUAUUUAAUUUUUAAUUCUUUUCU